AAAUUACUUUACAACACAUCUACAGUUUGAUGAUCACCCAAAUUUGUUUCACAAGUCUUUCGGCAGUACAAGUCUUCUUCUUCAUUUUCACAGUAUUUCUUAAUGUGAGCAACAACGUGAUCAGCAGUCUUGGGUGUCCCACCAAAUUUUGUGCAAUUCCUAACCCCGGAAUAAAUGAUUGAUUUAUUGUCGUGACAAAUCAAGAGCAAAGGGAGAUAAAACUUAAUCAGAGAGACAUUAAUUCUAAUUAAAAAGCUUUUAGACAUCAAAAGUCCAUCAAAAUCCAACUUGAUCCACUUUCUCCAAUUUAGAUUUAUAACCUGAUCAAGUUCGCACUAAUCCAUUGAGUUUUCAAAAUUAAUUAUGCUUUGUUUUGUUAAGAAUCGAGUGGAAAAUUUGUUUAGAACUGCUGUGUUCACUGUCAGCUCAUAUCAAACUUAAUUACGAUCACGUUUUUUAUAUCGAGCCAUUCUCUUUCGUUCAAAGAAAUACAAAGUCAUUUCUUUUGUCUCUUUCGUAAAGUGCCCUUACACUGAAAGGACCAUUGAUUAGAGCUCAAACUGAAAACGACAAUAUAUCACUCAAUCGAUUCUUCUUGUAUCACGUUUUUCAUUUCCUCUGGCUCUAAUUCUCUUUGAAAGGAAAUGAAUGUUACAAGUACCCAACUCUAAAGAUGUAUUAGGCAUUGUGAUUAGUCAUCAACACUUCUUACCUUACCAAGCUACCAUAGGAAACAAUUAUCACCGGAAAUUUUUUUACACAAUAUAUAUUUUAUAUAGGAUUUGCAAGUUGCUUUAAGAGCCCGUGUGAGAAGGAUAGGGAGAUGAUGACGCAAAAGGCAUACAUGAGGUCGGCACGCUCCACAUGACGAGGCUUACUUUCAUUCCAUUAAGCUUCUGCUGCAAUAGCCUGGAAACUAGAUAGGAUAAUCUCCUUACUUCCUCCAACUUUAUUAGUCAAUCAUUUUAGACUAUUAGCUUCUAUAAAAAGUGGAACAAUUGUUUACUCUUAUGUCUUAAAUAUCUAAGCUACAAUUUGAGUCGGUCCCCUUCUGGUUUUGGAUAUGCUACCAUUGAGUUUUUAUCCAACGGAUGAUCGGCUUUCUCCUUUGUGGAUAUGUAAAGAUAAAAAAGCAGUGGUUGUAUCGAUAUGUCUUCUUUUGUAAAUACAAUAACCCUAUAACACUCCAAGGCAAGGGGUAAUAAUCAUUCUUUUCUUUCCCAAUUUACUCAUUCUUUACUUCUCUUCAUCACCAAGGCGCCCACAUUCCUUGCUUUGCUUUUAUAUCCCCCCAAGAGAAGUUUAUUUAUCAUUAGAAACCCAAUUCUUUCUUCUCCAUCAUCUAAAAACUUAAGCAGCUUCUCAGACGCGGACAAAUGGCGGUGGCUACAAUCUAUGCAGCAAUCCCAUCUGUAGUUGCUGUUGCAGUCGGGAUUUAUUCUUUUGAUCGUCAUUCAGGAGCCGAGGAAUUUGGAGGUGGGAUUCGGUCAUCCAUCGGAAGUAUGAUGGCAAAACCAAGGCAAAAGCUGAAGACCACGCAGCAACCAAAGGUGGCUCCACAGUUUGACGGAUUGCACUGUUUCGAAACCUUGGUCGGUUGUUAAUGUUAAUUAAUCUGCUUCAGUGCUUCGUUAGCUGCAUAUCCUGCUGCUGGAGGUUCGUGCCAAGGAUAUUGAUGGCUGUUGUCAGGAUAUCUGCUCCUUUCCAUAUUUUACUUAAGCAUAUUUCUGGAUACAGAUUAGACUAAUGUGAUAAUAUUUCCAACAAGGAUUGCAAAGAUUAUAUUGGUUCAUUUCGUUACUUACCUAAAUUAACCAAGAAAUACAUAAACAUGUCCUGUUAGACUGUAUAUAUAUCUAGCACCAGAUGGCAAGUUUUCGCCGUUUAGGUUCAUAGAUAUUGUAUCUUGCAUUCCAGAUAAGAUACAAGCCCUUCCUGUAAGCUCUACAUGCAUGGAACUAGCCUCCAAAUGAAACAUGGAAAUAUGGAAGGAAUUUUACUUAUGUACA